AUCUUUAUAGUUUAUAUGUAAAAUAUUACACUGAAAAUGUAAAGAAAUUUUUUUAAAGAUA
rnacentral:tRNA from 1 species